rnacentral:rRNA from 1 species
GACGAACGCUGGCGGCGUGCUUAACACAUGCAAGUCGAACGGAAAGGCCCUGCUUUUGUGGGGUGCUCGAGUGGCGAACGGGUGAGUAACACGUGAGUAACCUGCCCUUGACUUUGGGAUAAUUUCAGGAAACUGGGGCUAAUACCGGAUAGGAGCUCCUGCUGCAUGGUGGGGGUUGGAAAGUUUCGGCGGUUGGGGAUGGACUCGCGGCUUAUCAGCUUGUUGGUGGGGUAGUGGCUUACCAAGGCUUUGACGGGUAGCCGGCCUGAGAGGGUGACCGGCCACAUUGGGACUGAGAUACGGCCCAGACUCCUACGGGAGGCAGCAGUGGGGAAUAUUGCACAAUGGGCGGAAGCCUGGUGCAGCAACGCCGCGUGCGGGAUGACGGCCUUCGGGUUGUAAACCGCUUUCGCCUGUGACGAAGCGUGAGUGACGGUAAUGGGUAAAGAAGCACCGGCUAACUACGUG